GAUGAACGCUGGCGGCGUGCUUAACACAUGCAAGUCGAACGGAAAGGCCCAAGCUUGCUUGGGUACUCGAGUGGCGAACGGGUGAGUAACACGUGGGUGAUCUGCCCUGCACUUCGGGAUAAGCCUGGGAAACUGGGUCUAAUACCGGAUAGGACCACAUUUUGGAUGGUGUGGUGGAAAGUUUUUCGGUGUGGGAUGAGCUCGCGGCCUAUCAGCUUGUUGGUGGGGUAAUGGCCUACCAAGGCGUCGACGGGUAGCCGGCCUGAGAGGGUGUACGGCCACAUUGGGACUGAGAUACGGCCCAGACCCCUACGGGAGGCAGCAGUGGGGAAUAUUGCACAAUGGGCGCAAGCCUGAUGCAGCGACGCCGCGUGGGGGAUGACGGCCUUCGGGUUGUAAACUCCUUUCGCUAGGGACGAAGCGUUAUGUGACGGUACCUGGAGAAGAAGCACCGGCUAACUACGUG
rnacentral:rRNA from 1 species